rnacentral:rRNA from 1 species
GACGAACGCUGGCGGCGUGCUUAACACAUGCAAGUCGAACGGAAAGGCCCUGCUUUUGUGGGGUGCUCGAGUGGCGAACGGGUGAGUAACACGUGAGUAACCUGCCCUUGACUUUGGGAUAACUUCAGGAAACGGGGGCUAAUACCGGAUAGGAGCUCCUGCUGCAGGGUGGGGGUUGGAAAGUCUCGGCGGGUGGGGAUGGACGCGCGGCUUAUCAGCUUGUUGGUGGGGUAGUGGCUUACCAAGGCUUUGACGGGUAGCCGGCCUGAGAGGGUGACCGGCCACCAUGGUCCUGAGGGACGGACCAGACUCCUACGGGGGGCAGCAGUGGGGAAUAUUGCCCAGUGGGCGGACGCCUGAUGCAGCAGCGCCGCGUGCGGGAUGACGGCCUUCGGGUUGUAAACCGCUUUCGCCUGUGACGAAGCGUGAGUGACGGUAAUGGGUAAAGAAGCACCGGCUAACUACGUG